GGGGCCGUGGUCUAGCCAGGCAUGACGUCGCCUUCACGCGGCGAAGGUCCCCGGUUCAAAUCCGGGCGGCCCCA
rnacentral:tRNA from 1 species